GGNGGGCCUAACACAUGCAAGUCGAGCGGUAACAGGGGUAGCUUGCUACCCGCUGACGAGCGGCGGACGGGUGAGUAAUGCAUAGGAAUCUGCCCGGUAGUGGGGGAUAACCUGGGGAAACCCAGGCUAAUACCGCAUACGUCCUACGGGAGAAAGGGGGCUCCGGCUCCCGCUAUUGGAUGAGCCUAUGUCGGAUUAGCUAGUUGGUGAGGUAAUGGCUCACCAAGGCAACGAUCCGUAGCUGGUCUGAGAGGAUGAUCAGCCACAUCGGGACUGAGACACGGCCCGAACUCCUACGGGAGGCAGCAGUGGGGAAUAUUGGACAAUGGGGGCAACCCUGAUCCAGCCAUGCCGCGUGUGUGAAGAAGGCCUUCGGGUUGUAAAGCACUUUCAGCGAGGAAGAACGCCUAGUGGUUAAUACCCAUUAGGAAAGACAUCACUCGCAGAAGAAGCACCGGCUAACUCCGUGCCAGCAGCCGCGGUAAUACGGAGGGUGCAAGCGUUAAUCGGAAUUACUGGGCGUAAAGCGCGCGUAGGUGGCUUGAUAAGCCGGUUGUGAAAGCCCCGGGCUCAACCUGGGAACGGCAUCCGGAACUGUCAAGCUAGAGUGCAGGAGAGGAAGGUAGAAUUCCCGGUGUAGCGGUGAAAUGCGUAGAGAUCGGGAGGAAUACCAGUGGCGAAGGCGGCCUUCUGGACUGACNCUGACACUGAGGUGCUAAAGCGUGGGUAGCAAACAGGAUUAGAUACCCUGGUAGUCCACGCCGUAAACGAUGUCNACCACCGUUGGGUGCCUAGCGCACUUUGUGUUGAAGUUAACUCUAUAAGUCUACGCCUGGGGUGUACUGUCGUCNUGGUUAAANUCAAAUCCAUUGUCUGGNGC
rnacentral:rRNA from 1 species